GCAGUCGAGCGGAUGAAGGGAGCUUGCUCCUGGAUUCAGCGGCGGACGGGUGAGUAAUGCCUAGGAAUCUGCCUGGUAGUGGGGGAUAACGUCCGGAAACGGGCGCUAAUACCGCAUACGUCCUGAGGGAGAAAGUGGGGGAUCUUCGGACCUCACGCUAUCAGAUGAGCCUAGGUCGGAUUAGCUAGUUGGUGGGGUAAAGGCCUACCAAGGCGACGAUCCGUAACUGGUCUGAGAGGAUGAUCAGUCACACUGGAACUGAGACACGGUCCAGACUCCUACGGGAGGCAGCAGUGGGGAAUAUUGGACAAUGGGCGAAAGCCUGAUCCAGCCAUGCCGCGUGUGUGAAGAAGGUCUUCGGAUUGUAAAGCACUUUAAGUUGGGAGGAAGGGCAGUAAGUUAAUACCUUGCUGUUUUGACGUUACCAACAGAAUAAGCACCGGCUAACUUCGUGCCAGCAGCCGCGGUAAUACGAAGGGUGCAAGCGUUAAUCGGAAUUACUGGGCGUAAAGCGCGCGUAGGUGGUUCAGCAAGUUGGAUGUGAAAUCCCCGGGCUCAACCUGGGAACUGCAUCCAAAACUACUGAGCUAGAGUACGGUAGAGGGUGGUGGAAUUUCCUGUGUAGCGGUGAAAUGCGUAGAUAUAGGAAGGAACACCAGUGGCGAAGGCGACCACCUGG
rnacentral:rRNA from 1 species